AUCUUCCAGGCCAGGCAGCAGGAGGGGGAAGCAGAGCUGGGCCUGGCUGUCUGUGCUUCUCUGCAGUGCUGUCCCCAGCUUCCCGGAGUCUGGAUGCUGCCCUAUUCCAGGAGGAUAGCAGUUGGUCAGGGGUCCAGGAAGGGUCCCAGUGGGGAGAAAUUGAUUCCGUGGUCAUUGAUCUCAGGACAGAGGAUCAUCUGGUCUAGAUGGCCUGAAUCGGAGAUGGUGGAGAUGCCCUCAGUGGCCAGAAGAGGGUGCUGGAUCCUCUGGUGCAGAUGCUACAGGCUGCUGUGAGGUGCCUGCCAUGGCACUGGGAACAGAAUGCAGGUCCUCUGCAAGGAUCACCAACCCUGGGGACAAGGAAGUACUAAAGGAUGUGCCGUAGCACCUCAGAAGACCAGGCUCCCUGACAGUCUCUCCUCCCAAGUCCAGUCUGGAGUCGGCCCCUCCCCACCCACGUAUGCAGUCAGGACCACAGCCCAAAUCCUCUCUGUCCGUUCAUCUGCCAGCUGCCAACCUAUUUCAGUCCCAUCUGUGGAGCCUUCCUGAUAACGCUUCUGCCUCCACCUCUGCCCCACAGUCACUUUCCCUCAUGACAGCCAGGGAGAUCUUUCUGGAAAGUGCU